UACAGAGGGUGCGAGCGUUAAUCGGAAUUACUGGGCGUAAAGGGCUCGUAGGCGGCCAACUAAGUCAGACGUGAAAUCCCUCGGCUUAACCGGGGAACUGCGUCUGAUACUGGAUGGCUUGAGGUUGGGAGAGGGAUGCGGAAUUCCAGGUGUAGCGGUGAAAUGCGUAGAUAUCUGGAGGAACACCGGUGGCGAAGGCGGGUCUCUGGGCCGAUACUGACGCUGAGGAGCGAAAGCGUGGGGAGCGAACAGG
rnacentral:rRNA from 1 species